GUCAUACUACGUGCAUGUCGAGCGAAUGGAUUAAGAGCUUGCUCUUAUGAAGUUAGCGGCGGACGGGUGAGUAACACGUGGGUAACCUGCCCAUAAGACUGGGAUAACUCCGGGAAACCGGGGCUAAUACCGGAUAAUUUUUUGAACCGCGGGGUUCGAAAUUGAAAGGGGUCUUCGGCUGUCAUUUAUGGAUGGACCCGCGUCGCAUUAUCUAGUUGGAGAGGUAACGGCUCACCAAGGCAACGAUGCGUACCCCACCUGAGAGGGUGAUCGGCCACACUGGGACUGACACACGGCCCAGACUCCUACGGGAGGCAGCAGUAGGGAAUCUUCCGCAGUGGAAGAAAGUCUGACGGAGCAACGCCGCGUGAGUGAUGAAGGCUUUCGGGUCGAAAAACUCUGUUGUUAGGGAAAAACAAGUGCUAUUUGAAUAAGCUGGCACCUUGACGGUACCUAACCAGAAAGCCACGGCUAACUACGUGCCAGCAGCCGCGGUAAUACGUAGGUGGCAAGCGUUAUCCGGAAUUAUUGGGCGUAAAGCGCGCGCAGGUGGUUUCUUAAGUCUGAUGUGAAAGCCCACGGCUCACCCGUGGAGGGUCAUUGGAAACUGGGAGACUUGAGUGCAGAAGAGGAGAGUAGAACUCCAUGUGUAGCGGUGAAAUGCAUAGAGAUAUGGAGGAACACCAGUGGCGAAGGCGACUUUCUGGUCUGUAACUGACACUGAGGCGCGAAAGCGUGGAGAGCACACAGGAUUAGAUACCGUGAUAGUCCACGCCGUAAACGAUGAGUGCUAAGUGUUAGAGGGUCUCCGCCCUUUUAGUGCUGAAGUUCACGCAUUAAGCACUCCGCCUGGAGAGUACGGCCGCGGGGCUGAAACUCAAAGUAUUGACGGGGGCCCGCA
rnacentral:rRNA from 1 species